rnacentral:lncRNA from 1 species
GCAGGUCCCGCUGGCUGCCUCUGACUGAGUGGGUCCAGGCUGGGCGAGUCGGCCCAGCGCUACCAGCGGGUUUGUGUAGGGCCCCGCCCAUCUCAUCUACAUGUUUCAGGCGGCCCCGGACCCCACCCACCGGCGAAGAUCUCCCGCGGCCAGGCACCCUGCGAGGCCUGGCGAGGAGAAGGAAAAUCCUGGGAGGAGGAAAGGCAGGCAGAAAGCUGGAGCUCCAAGAGUCACGCAGGUACAAGGACAAAGAAUCGUCAAAUGAGAAUACCAAGAAGAGACAGACAUCCAUGAUUUAUUGUUAGGAGGAAGAAGCAAGUUGCAGAACAUAUAAUACAGUAUGUUCAGGUUAAACAAAUGUGC